CGGAGGGUGCGAGCGUUGUCCGGAAUCACUGGGCGUAAAGGGCGCGUAGGCGGCCCCUUAAGCGUGCGGUGAAAGCCUGGGGCUCAACCCCGGGUCGGCCGUGCGGACUGGGGGGCUCGAGCACCGUAGGGGCAGGCGGAAUUCCGGGUGUAGCGGUGGAAUGCGUAGAGAUCCGGAAGAACACCGGUGGCGAAGGCGGCCUGCUGGGCGGUAGCUGACGCUGAGGCGCGACAGCGUGGGGAGCAAACAGGAUUAGAUACCCUGGUAGUCCACGCCGUAAACGAUGGGCACUAGGUGCCUGGGGGAGCGACCCCCCGGGUGCCGGCGCUAACGCAUUAAGUGCCCCGCCUGGGGAGUACGGCCGCAAGGCUG
rnacentral:rRNA from 1 species